UACGUAGGGUGCGAGCGUUACUCGGAAUUACUGGGCGUAAAGCGUGCGCAGGCGGUUCGUUAUGUCCGUUGUGAAAGCCCCGGGCUCAACCUGGGAAUGGCAAUGGAAACCGGCGGGCUAGAGUGUGGCAGAGGGGGGUGGAAUUCCGCGUGUAGCAGUGAAAUGCGUAGAGAUGCGGAGGAACACCGAUGGCGAAGGCAGCCCCCUGGGCUAGCACUGACGCUCAGGCACGAAAGCGUGGGGAGCAAACAGG
rnacentral:rRNA from 1 species